AUAAGGAGAAGGUGACAUGUAAUGUGGUAUACUGGUAUGUUUACCUUAUCAGUGUAGGUUAGUGAUGUUGGAUGGAGCAUGUGAGAUGAUGUGGUUAAAAAUUCUGCUUAGAGAAUAGGAUAUUGAGGUGCAACUUCCAUGAAGAUUUAUUGCAAUAAUAUGGCUGCGGUACUUUGCUAUUGUAGUCCAUUAUAUUAUGAAAGGGCCAAACACAUUGAAAUUGAUUAAUAUAAGGAGAAGGUGACAUGUAAUGUGGUAUGUACACCUUAUCAGUGGUUGAUGGAUCAACUGGCAGAUUUUCUUAUGCAAACUAGAAUGAGAAGAAGUGGGGAAUAAUAUGGCUGCGUUACAUUGCUAUUGUAGUUCAUUAUAUUAUGAAAGGGCCAAACGCAUUGAAAUUGAUUAAUAUAAGGAGAAGCUGACAUGUAAUGUGGUAACCUUAUCAGUGGUUGAUGGAUCAACUGGCAGAUUUUCUUAUGCAAACUAGAAUGAGAAGAAGUGGGGAACACAGGCAUAGGCCCAAGCUUCUAUCCAAGAGCAAACAUGUAUCCAAAGUAGCCCAAAACAGAGGCGAAACGGACCCGACAAUCUAACUAUGGUUUCAGGAAAACCUGUCCCAACUUGUUGGAGAAGAGGGGUUGUGCAUCAGGUUUUGAGGAUGAAACAAGGUUCACAUCAGCUGCUGAUGUCAUCAUGAGUUGGGCCUUUUGGCCUGAAUGUGUAUGCACAAGGCUCAAAUCAGCUGCUGAUGUUAGCAUGACUUCAGGCCUUUUGGCUUGAAUAAUGUGUAUGCACAGGGCUCACAUCAGCUACUGAUGUCGGCAUGCUUACAUCAGCUAUUGAUGUUGUCAUGACGUCAGAACUUUUGGUCUGAAUCCUUUGGGAAGUCCAAAGCAUGUGACUUGUAUAGCUUUACAUGGAAUUUUUUAGCGACUGCUGAGUUUUGCUAUUCCUUUAACUACAGGAUAUGGCACGUGCAAUGCACGUGGAGACAGGAAGGGAGAAAGAAAAAAGGCAUAGAGGAGGAGGAAAAGGUGUGGGCUACACUUACACACAUAGAGAGAAAGAGCAAAGAGUGCCCAUCCUCACUCUUUCCCGUGCUGUGGCCCACUCGAGUCUUCGAUCCACCUCGUCUUUGGGUUGACAUCCUAACAUGAGCCGAUGCAACAAAUGUAUGAAGCGGAUGUACAAUCAUCAUGGUGGGCCCACAUAGCCUUUGUUGCACGGGUUCUAAAGUAAUAUGCUUUAUGCGGGCUACACGCAAAGAGUAGAGAUGAGUGCAGGUUACUUGUAGGAAGAAAUUGAAAGGAAUGACAAAAAUGCCCUUAAAAAAUCAAAGCUUACAUGUGUUCGUAUACCAUUGCAGGGGUAAAAUUGUCCAAACAAUGGUCACGGGUAAAAUUUUAAGUUGUUUAAAGGCUUUUUGUGGGUAAAAUGUGAACCAUAUCUUGGACAACAACCACAUUUUCCAGUUCCCAAUAUACUUAUGACUUUUUUAAAUUGUCUUCCCAUGCCCUUUGAAUAUUCAAUGUUCUCCACCCUAUGGAAAUUAAUUGUGGGGGUAAAAUUGUCCCCCGCUAUUCGCGGUAUAUAUAGUAUAGAUUGUUUUUUGAAUGUUAGCCUUGUUGUUCUUCAAAAGUCUUUGAAUAAAUUUGGAUAGUGGAGAUUUUAUGAAAGCAAGAGCUGAGAUUUAAAGUAGAUUUUAGGUUUAUUUGGGACUAUUAGGGAACUUAUAUAGGACCACUCAAAAAAUAAAUUAGAAAACUUAGCUAGACCUGUUUUCAGGCAUAUGGUGGAAUGGCUAUUAUUUUCCUUUUUUUUUUUCUCACCCUUGUUUGACUUCGUUGAUGACUUGAAAAUGUUGAAAUAUAUUGGGUUUUGGGUUUUAACCUGGGUAUUUAAUUUAAGUUGUGAUCUUCUCUCCAUCAUGACACUGUUGCAUGUGGUGCUGGUAUGUACUUAUUGUUAUUGUUGCUGAGAUUCAUUCUAAGUGCUUAAAAUUGCAUUAUUGGUUGACAAGAUUCAUCCCAGGUGCUGAAAACUACAUCAGAGGAUAGGAUGGGUUGCUGGAAUUUUAGCUAGCGUUGCUGGGAAUUUAAGUAUAAUUGCUUGCAAUCUGUUUCAUGGGCUGGAAUUUCAAAUUUUUUGAUGGCACUCAUCUCCAGCUGCUGGACUUAUCCAUGGGUGUUGGAAAUUUCUCUCUUUGAUUCUUGUUGAAAAUUUUGAGAAAUAUUUGUAUUCAAGGAUAGAAAUUGUUCCAGCUCAAUUAGUUUGUGGUUCUAGUGCUGGUCAUUUCCUUCUUCGUACCUUAGCCUACCUUUAUGCACUGGCAAGCCUGCAAAGCAUCUGUUGGACAAGGUUAUUGAAAGAGUUGAAAGGAAAUUGUUGAGGUGAAAGCCGGCACCUCUCAUUGGGAGGAAGAUUGACGUUUAUCAAAGUAGCAUUAUCGGACUUUCUGUUUUACUUUAUUUCCCUUUUUAAGUGUCUAAAGGCUUUGUUGGACAGGUUGGAGAAUCUUAAGGUGUGACUUUUUGUGGCAAGGUGCAGAAAAGAAGCAAAAGUUUCAUCAGUUGAAGUGGGAUGAGGUGUGCAAGUCUUAUGAGGAGGGGGGAGCAGGUAUAAGGAAGUUGGAGGUUAUGAAUUUAGUAUUGCUAAGAAAAUGGUUAUGGAGAUUUGGUACGGGAAAGAUUCAUCCUUUUAUAAGGCUUUGGUGUUGGGGAAGGCGGUUAUCAGGAUGGGACCAAGUUCAAGGAGGGGUUGAUUCUAUUUAGGAGAUGAAAAGAGGAUUCACUUUUGGGAAGAUGUAUGGACGGGUAAUGGGAUGGUGUGGUCUCUAUGUCGGAGGAAUUUGUUGGAGGGGCAAGAUGAUGAGUUCAUUCAUCUAUUGGAGCAGCUUCAUAGUAUUUAUCCUUCUUCAUGAGUUAGGUGAGUUGGUGUGGAAUAAAGAGAAGUCCGGUAAGUUCUUGGUCAAUUCUUUCUACGUAUUGAUUCUCAGGUUAUCUUUCGGAGAACAUAGUGGGUAGUGGGUACAAUGGUUUCAUGUGGCACUAUGGGGCUCCCCCUAAGGUAGCAACUUUUGCGUGGCCGACAAGAAGAAUUGAGGUGCUCAUAGUUGAUAAUCUUUGGUGAUCACUAAUUUUUGCAUGUCGGUUGAUCAUGUCUUUAUUCACUGUCCCUUUGCUAGUGAGAUGUGAGAGAGGUUCUUGGAGACCUUUGAGGUGUUGUGGGUGACGCCAGGAGCCAUUGGGUCUCUUUUUGUGCUAGUAUGGGGGUGGAAUUGGGAAGAAAGGGAGCCUUAAAAAAAAAAAAGAAUUGGGAGGAGGAUGCUUUGGAGGCUAUCCCUAUUGGCAGGCAUUUGGGCAUUAUGCGGAGAGAUGAUGAGGACAUGGAUGACCAGAUGCUAAAGGAUUGGGCUAAUAUAUUUGUUGAGUAUUAGAAUGAAUUAGAUUGUGGAAAGGGGCACAAAUCCUUUCCAUGAUGGAAAAAUCGAUAGAUCCGUCAAUGAACCACAUAAAGUGGCACCAUUGGCAUUUAUGGUCCACAAGUGGGGUGUGUGAUCUAGGCCAUCAAUUUGGAGACCUUUGAUUAUUCAUUGGUUAUUUUUUUUUUUUUUAAUUUUUUCUUUUUCUUUGGGUGUGUUUGGAUUUUUGUGCUAGGGUUUGACAUAAACCAUGUGAGUGACGAAUCUCGUCUGUUGGCUAUUAGUAUUAGCUGAUUCUGCCAUUGUUUCUUUGUGUGAAGUUCCUAUUCUACAAUCAUUGCCGUGUAGUGGUAAGGGCUGUGGUGCACAGGGAUUGGAUAAGUAAAUCAUAGAUCCAAUAGAAGAGAGAUUUACCACAUUAGAGAGGCAAAUGUAGACCAUCUCCCAACUGCUCGCUACAAUAUUGGCAAGGAAUGAACCACAGACUCGGGAAGAUGAUGAUGAUGAGUCGUGUGGGAGUGAUAUUAACUCGUUCCAUCGUAAGGUUCUGUUUGUUGAGCCACAACGAGUCGAAAGGAGGGAUCAUUAUGAUCGAAGUCAAGGGUUGGAAGUGAAGGUGAAGUCCUAUGAAUAUCAUGGUAGUUCGCGUGAGGACGAUUUUCUGGAUUGGAUUGAAGCAAUGGAAAUGAUCUUUGAUUACAAAGAUGUGGAAGAAGCAAAAAAAAAAAAAAGAUAAAAAAAAGGAUAAAA